rnacentral:tRNA from 1 species
GGAAGAGCAGCUCUCGGGUAGAGCGGCCGGUUGAAGCCCGGUAGGUGAUGGUUCGACCCCAUCCUCUUCCA